GGCUUUAAACAGCUGCAGAAGGUUUUCUGUCUUUUUCUUUCACAUAAAACGAGUGGGCAUGCACCACAUGCACACACAUGCACAUGCUCAUAUAUUUUUUUUAAGAAUAUGUUUUUUUGCAGAGGUUUAAUAUGUAUUUUGCUAAGAACAUCCAUCUAUAUUUAUGUAUUCGAUUUUAGUUGGGAUUUAUUGGUGUAUACUGAGCUGUUUGCGCUAGCAUUAGAGAUCAAUCGAACAAUAAUUAUGUUGUGUAUCCUGGAAUUGCAGGCAGAAA
rnacentral:misc_RNA from 1 species